CUACGGGAGGCUCCAGUGAGGAAUCUUGCGCAAUGGGGGAAACCCUGACGCAGCGACGCCGUGUGAGUGAAGAAGGCCCUCGGGUCGUAAAGCUCUGUCAAGCGGGAAUAAAAUUACGCGGUAAAUAGCCGCGUAAGCUGAAGGUACUGCUAAAGGAAGCACCGGCUAACUCCGUGCCAGCAGCCGCGGUAAUACGGAGGGUGCUAGCGUUAUUCGGAUUUAUUGGGCGUAAAGAGCGUGUAGGCUGUUGGGUAAGUCAGGUGUGAAAUCCUUCUGCUUAACGGAAGAAGUUCAUCUGAAACUGCUUAACUUGAGUACGAGAGAGGAAAGUGGAAUUCCCAGUGUAGAGGUGAAAGUCGUAGAUAUUGGGAGGAACACCCGUGGCGAAGGCGACUUUCUGGAUCGAUACUGACGCUGAGACGCGAAAGCGUGGGGAGCAAACAGGAUUAGAUACCCUAGUAGUC
rnacentral:rRNA from 1 species